rnacentral:rRNA from 1 species
AGCGAACGCUGGCGGUAGGCCUAACACAUGCAAGUCGAACGGCAGCACAGUAAGAGCUUGCUCUUACGGGUGGCGAGUGGCGUACGUGUGAGGUAUACAUCCUAAUCUACUUUUUCGUGUGGGAUAACGUAGGGAAACUUACGCUAAUACCGCAUACGACCUACGGUUGAAAGCAUGGGAUCUUCGGACCUUGCGCGAAUGAAUGAGCCGAUGACGGGUUGGCUAGUUGGCGGGGUAAAUGCCCACCAAGUCGACGAUCCGUAGCUGGUCUGAGAGGCUGAUCGGCCACACUGGAACUGAAACACGGUCCUGACUACUACGAGAGGCAGCAGUGGGGAAUAUUGGACAAUAGGCGGAAGCAUGGUACAGCGAUCCCGCGUGUGUGGAGGAGGCCUUCGGGUUGUGAAGCCCUUUUGUUGGGAGAGAAACGCAGCCGGUUGAUACCCCGCUGUUCUGACGGUACCCAAAGAAUAAGCACCGGCUAACUACGUG